GAUGAACGCUGGCGGCGUGCCUAAUACAUGCAAGUCGAGCGAACGGACGAGAAGCUUGCUUCUUUGAUGUUUGCGGCGGACGGGUGAGUAACACGUGGAUAACCUACCUAUAUGACUGGGAUAACUUCGGGAAACCGGAGCUAAUACCGGAUAAUCUUUUGAACCGCAUGGUUCAAAAGUGAAAGACGGUCUUGCUGUCACUUCUCGAUGGAUCCGCGCUGCAUUAGCUAGUUGGUAAGGUAACGGCUUACCAAGGCAACGAUGCAUAGCCGACCUGAGAGGGUGAUCGGCCACACGGGAACUGAGACACGGUCCAGACUCCUACGGGAGGCAGCAGUAGGGAAUCUUCCGCAAUGGGCGAAAUCCUGACGGAGCAACGCCGCGUGAGUGAUGAAGGUCUUCGGAUCGUAAAACUCUGUUAUUAGGGAAAAACAUAUGUGUAAGUAACUGUACACAGCUUGACGGUACCUAAUCAGAAAGCCACGGCUAACUACGUG
rnacentral:rRNA from 1 species